ensembl:lncRNA
UUUUACCGGGAAGAGAAAUGCGGGUGCAGUUUGUCUGGUUCUGUGGCUGCUGGCGCAUGUUGAUGAUGUCAGCGGCCGACCUACAGGUGUACGCAGAGACGUAGACCGAUUAGUGACUACACCAGCGAGAGUUCAGAGGAAAGACCAAGACUUUGGGCCUGUUCGAGGAUCAGAGAGAGUACCGAAUACAGGUGAUAGAGGUUCUGCACAGAAACAAAAUGGAGGGUUGAAGGGAUUUUUGAGCAAGACGGUUCGACAUUUCAAACUCCACGCUCCUCCUGCUACAGUAUACGCUCUCCCUGUCUCCCUCAUCGCCAUGGCGCUCCUCUGCUGCGUCACGUGUGCUAUCGACCGGCCAGUUCCGUUAGAAGGAGGUUUCUAGGAAGCCAAUAAAUUUGACAACAAACAGCAAACAUCGUCAUGUGUCACGCUGUUCAUUCAUAAAUGUGUAAAAGAUCUACUUAAAAAUAGCAAAAAAUAAUCCUGCUUCAUUAAAAAUGCUAACGAAACACUGGCAGUCUCUCUCUCUCUCAAUCUCGAUGGACGGACAGAUGGAUGGAUAGAUAGAUAAAUGGAUAUAUGGAUGGAUGAAAAAAA